GAUCCUGGCUCAGAAUCAACGCUGGCGGCGCGCUUAACACAUGCAAGUCGAACGAGAAAGUCCGCAAGGAUGAGUACAGUGGCGUACGGGUGAGUAACACGUGGAUAAUCCACCUCUUUGUGGGGAAUAACUUUGGGAAACCGAAGCUAAUACCGCAUAAGCCUGAGAAGGGAAAGCCGAAAGGCGCAGAGAGAGGAGUCCGCGGCUGAUUAGCUAGUUGGUGGGGUAAGAGCCUACCAAGGCUGAGAUCGGUAGCCGGCCUGAGAGGGCACACGGCCACACUGGCACUGCAACACGGGCCAGACUCCUACGGGAGGCAGCAGUGGGGAAUCUUGCACAAUGGACGAAAGUCUGAUGCAGCGACGCCGCGUGCGCGAUGACGCCCUUCGGGGUGUAAAGCGCUUUCGGCUGGAACGAUAAUGACGGUACCAGCAGAAGAAGCUGCGGCUAACUACGUGCCAGCAGCCGCGGUAAUACGUAGGCAGCAAGCGUUGUUCGGAGUUACUGGGCGUAAAGAGUCUGUAGGCGGUGCUCUAAGUUUGGUGUGAAAUCUCCCGGCUUAACCGGGAGGGUGCGCCGAAGACUGGGGUGCUGGAGUCUGGGAGAGGAAAGCGGAAUUCCUGGUGUAGCGGUGAAAUGCGUAGAUAUCAGGAGGAACACCGGUGGUGUAGACGGCUUUCUGGACCAGUA
rnacentral:rRNA from 1 species